GAUUCCUCCUCUCUAGGCAGGGCAUCUCUGAAAAAAAGGCAGCAGCCCCAGUCAGGGGCUUAUAGAUCAAACUCCCAUCUCCCUGGGACAGAACACCUGGGGGAAGGGGAGGCUGUGGGCUCAGCUUCAGCAGACUUAAAUGUACCUGCCUGCCAGCUCUGAAGAGAGCAGAGGAUCUCCCAGCACACCACUCGAGCUCUGGUAAGAGAUAGACUGCCUCCUCAAGUGGAUCCCUGACACCUGUGUCUCCUGACUGGGCGACAACUCCCAGCAGGGGCCGAUGGACACCUCAUACAGGACAAUUCCAGCUGGCAUCUGCCAGGUGCCCUCUGGGACGAAGCUUCCAGAGGAAGUAACAGGCAGCAAACUUUGCUGUUCUGCAGCCUCUGCUGGUGAUACCCAGGCAAACAGGGUCUGGAGUGGACCUCAGGCAAACUCCAGCAGACCUGCACUGCAGCAGAGGAGCCUGACUUUCAGAAGGAAAACUAACGAACAGAAAGGAAUAGCAUCAACAUCAACGAAAAGGACAUCCAGACAGAAACCCCAUCUGAAGGUCACCAACAUCAAAGACCAAAGGUAGGUAAAUCCAUGCAGAUGAGGAAAAACCAGUGCAAAAAGGCUGAAAAUUCCCAAAACCAGAACAUUUCUCCUCCAACAGAUCACACUCCUUGCCAGCAAGGGAACAGAACUGGACGGAGAAUGAGUUUGAUGAAUUGACAGAAGUAGGCUUCAGAAGGUGGAUAAUAACAAACUCCUCCAAGCUAAGGGAGCAUGUUCUAACCCAAUGCAAGGAAGCUAAAAACCUUAAAAAAAAGAUUAUAGAAAUUGCUAACUAGAAUAACCAGUUUAGAGAAGAACAUAAAUGACCUGAUGGAGCUGAAAAACACAGCAUGAGAACUUCGUGAAGCAUACAGAAGUAUCAAUAGCUGAAUCAAUCUAGCAGAAAAAAGGAUAUCAGAGGUAGAAGACUGACUUAAUGAAAUGAAGUGUGAAGACAAGAUUAGAGAAAAAAGAAUGAAAAAGGAGAAUGAACAAAGCCUGUAAGAAACAUGAGACUAUAUGAAAAGACCAAAUCUACAUUUGAUUGGUGUACCUGAAAGUGACUGGGAGAAUGGAAAGGAGCUGGAAAACACUCUUCGGGAUAUUAUCCAGGAGAACUUCCCCAACCUAGCAAGACAGGCCAACACUCAAAUUCAGGAAAUACAGAGAACACCACAAUGAUGCUCCUCAAGAAGAGCAACCCAAAGACACAUAAUCGUCAGAUUCACCAAAGUUGAAAUAAAGGAAAAAAUGUUAAGGGCAGCCAGAGGGAAAGGUUGGGUUACCCACAAAGCAAAGCCUAUCAGACUAACAGCAGAUCUCUCUGCAGAAACUCUACAAGCCAGAAGAAAGUGGGGCCAAUAUUCUACAUUCUUAAAGAAAAGAAUUUUCAACCUAGAAUUUCGUAUCCAGCUAAAUUAAGCUUCAUAAGGGAAAGAGAAAUAAAAUAUUUUACAGAGAAGCAAAUGCUGAGAAAUUUUGUCACCACCAGGCCUGCCUUAAAAGAGCUCCUCUAGGAGCACUAAACAUGGAAAGGAACAAUCGGUAUCAGCCACUGCAAAAACAUACCAAAUUGUAAAAACCAACAACACUCUGAAGAAACUGCAUCAACUAAAAGUCAAGAUAACCAGCUAGCAUUAUCAUGACAGGAUCAAAUUCACACAUAGCAAUAUUAACCUUAAAUGUAAAUGGGCUAAAUGCCCCAAUUAAAAGACAGAGACUGGCAAAUUGGAUACAGAGUCAAGACCCAUUGGUAUGCUCUAUUCAGGAGACCCAUGUCAAGUGCAAAGACACACAUAGGCUCAAAAUAAAAGGAUGGAGGAAUAUUGACCAAGCAAAUGGAAACCAAAACAAAGCAGGGGUUGCAUUCCCAGUCUCUGAUAAAACAGGCUUUAAACCAACAAAGAUCAAAAGAGCCAAAGAAAGGCGUUAUAUAAUGGUAAAGGGAUCAAUGAAACAAGAAUAGUUAACUAUCCUAAUAUAUAUGCACCCAAUACAGGAGCACCCAGAUUCAUAAAUCAAGUUCUUAGAGACCUACAAAGAGAUUUAGACUCCGACACAAUAAUAGUAGGAGACUUAAACACCCCACUGUCAAUAUUAGACAGAUCAAUGAGACAGAAAAUUAACAUGGAUAUUUAGCACUUGAACUCAGCUCUGGACUGAGUGGAUCUAAUAGGCAUCUAGAGAACUCUCAACCCCAAAUCAACAGAAUAUACAUUCUUCUCAGCACCACAUCACACUUAUUUUAAAAUUAGCCACAUAAUUGGAUGUAAAACACUCCUCAGCAAAUGCAAAAUAAUGGAAAUCAUAACAAACAGUUUGUCUGACCACAGUGCAAUCAAAUUAGAACUCAGGAUUAAGAAACUCAAAACUGCACAACUACAUGGAAACUAAACAACCUUCUCCUAAAUGACUACUGGGUAAAUAUAAAAAUUAAGGCAGAAAUAAAUAAGUUAUUUCAAACCAAUGAGAGCAAAGACACAACAUACAAGAAUCUCUGGGACACAGCUAAAGCAGUGUUUAGAGGGAAAUUUAUAGCACUAAAUGCCCACAAGAGAAAGCAGGAAAGAUCUAAAAUUGACACCCUAAUACCACAAUUUAAAGAACUAGAGAAGCAAGAGCAAACAAAUUCAAAAGCUAGCAGAAGAUAAGAAAUAACUAAGGUUAGAAACAAGUGCUUGGUGCUGCGAAGAAAACGUGUGCUCAAUAAAAGAUUACUUAGUAAGGCAAUUUUACUUUUGUAGUGUAGCAGGACGAGCCACAGACAAAACUCCUCAGACACCAGGUUAAAGAAGGAAGGAGCUUUAUUCAGCCUGGAACUUCAGCAGACUUGCAUCUCAAAAGCCGAGCUCCCGGAGUGAGCAAUUCCAGUCCCUUUUAGGGGCUUACAACUCUAAGGGGGUCCGCGUGAGAGGGUCGUGAUGGAUUGAGCAAGCAGGGGGUACGUAACUGGGGGCUGCGUGCACUGAUAAUCAGAACGGAACAGAACAGGAAAGGGAUUUUCACAAUGCUUUUCCAUACAAUGUCUGGAAUCUAUAGAUAACGUAACCGGUUAGGUCAGGGGUGGAUCUUUAACUACCAGGCUCAGGGCGUGGCACUGGGCUGUCUGCCGGUGAAUUUCAUUUCUGCCUUUUAGUUUUUACUUCUUCCUUCUUUGGAGGCAGAAAUGGGCAUAAGACAAUAUGAGAGGUGGUCUCCUCCCUUAUCCCCCACUCUUUGAGAACCUCUCUCAUUAGUGGGAGUUCUCACUUUCAUCCUCACUACCCAUGUCUUCUUGCAAGACAGAUCAAUAGUGAUUCAUAUAGUACACUUGUGCUGAAGCAUUUUGGUGAACUAAGGUAGUGAUGAAGUUUUUUAUUACUUGAAGGAGUACAGGUAGCAAACAAGGGAGUAGUAAGCAGGUUCCUAUUACUAUUAUAAUUUUUAUUAUAAGAGUUUUAAAUCCUUUUAGUGCUGGAAACCAUUUCCAACCAUGGCCCCAGGAUUAAAUCCAUGCCACACUUGCAAGGGCACAUGUGCCAGUUUUGUCAUAUCUUUAACUAUGUCUUCAACUACUUACCCUUGAUCAUUUAUGUGCAAACAGCAAUUGUUUAGGUUAAAUUUUCCACAGACUACUCCUUCAGCUGCUAGCAAGUAGUCUAGGGCUAAUCUAUUUUGAUAGAUAGCAUUUCUCAUCUGGGUUUUUGCUGGGCUAAAACAGUUAAAGCUCUACCAGUUUUAUUAGUUAUUAUUUCUAAGACAGCUUGUAACUGUAUGAUUCAGUUGAGCAUAUAAAUGGGGGUUUGGUAUCCCCACUAGCCGUCUUGUGCCUAAGUGGCAGGCCCAUAGUACUGUAUGAUUUUUUUUCAGGGGGCCACUCAUCAUCUUUCCAGCUGCCUAUAGCUAUGCUUCUCUUUUCUCGGGAAGCAUAGACUGGGAAGCCUAGAAGUGUGCCUGUUUUUAUGGGCACUAGGAAAAAGGAUGGGUUAUAGCACACAUCAGGCUGGUCACUUCCAGGGCUAUAUACCUUGUAUAGAAUAGCAUUAUACAAACAAGUUCCUUUUAGAGCUCUGGUACACUUAUAAUAACCAUAAAAUAAUAGAACUGUAGCAACCUUUUGUCCUACCGCAGUGACUUGACGUAUAUACUGGGAACAGUCCUCAGUCUGGGAAAGGUCAGUUGAAGUCCUUACUGUACAAGUCCAAAUUUUAAGGAAAACGAGUCCCAUGAUGAGUUUCCUCAUGCUUCGGCUGUGCGUGGACCAGUCAGCUUCUGGGUGUGACUGGAGCAGGGCUUGUCAUCUUCUUCAGAGUCACUUUGCAGGGGUUGGUGAAGCUGCUCCCGUCCACGUGCAGCUACCAGUCUACUGAUGUUCAAGGAUGGUCUCAGAGGUUGGGCCUGCUAGAAUAAACUGAGUCCAAUACCUCUACACAGUUAUGUUUAACUGGGCUCUCUGAUACGGGGAGCAAGGUGGUGGGGUUUAGGGUGUUGCAAACUUCAAUGGUUAUGCAGGGAUUUUCACAGAGCAAGCUUUGGUAUCUAGUUAGUCUAGUAUUCUUUAGCCAAUGAUGUCCUUUGGUAUUUAUUAAAGUCACCACAGUAUGGGGGGCCUUUAUCUUUAGGUUUUGCCCAAGAGUUAGCUUAUCCACUUCUUAUGCUAGCAGGGCUGUUGCUGCCAAAGCCCUCAAACAUGGGGGCCAACUCUUAGAAACGCCAUCUAGUUGUUUAGAGAGGUAGGCCACUGGCCCCAGCCAGGGCCCAAUGGUCUGGGUCAAAACUCUAACCGCCAUUUCUUUUUCUCUGUCUGACACAUAUAGUGUAAAAGGUUUUGUCUGGUCAGGUAGCCCCAGGGCUAGGGCCGACAUGAGUUUUUCUUUUAACUCAUGAAAAGCUCGUUGCUGUUGGUUGUAAUAGAUGUAGUUUAUCCAAUCUACGUUUUUAUUAACUGUCACCCACCAAAAUAUUGACUCAAAUCCUGCAGCUACUUGAUUUUGGGCUUUAAAUUGAUCUGGUAUUCCCUUUUGGAUUCCAAUUGCAUCUAAAUAGAUGUGAGAGUCGAAAGGCCCAUAAGGGGCUUCUCUCACUUUACAAUGUCUUAUUUUUCCUCCCUCUGGUUGAUGAAAUGCCAGGGUGAAAGGGAUAGCCAAUUGGACUAAAGCACAAAUGCCACUCCAGUUAUUUGGCAGAGUGCCCAGUAAAGGUCCACCACAAUACCACCACACAUCUGCUUGGGGAUGAACCAGGGCUGACUGAUUGAUAAGCUCUUGAAAAUUCUUAAGCUCACUGCAUCCCUUCAGGUCUCCAAGGAAUGCUAAGUUUUCUCCGUCAUGAGAGACACGAAGUGAACCUAGUGUUGGAAAACAGAAGCGGGAUGGCCCUCGAGGGCUGACCCGCAGGGUGCUCGACUUCCGGAUAUAGCAGAAAGAGCUUGGCAUGAUUUAAUACUCCAGGCUGUAGAAUCCUGGAAAAGAGCUACCAUGCAGCCCAUGCCUGGUUGACUGGAGGACCACCUUAGUGGAAAGGGGACGAUCUGAGCCUCUGGCCUGCCAUGUGCACAAGCAUAACAAUUGCUUUUGUUUAACAUGUGGAGGGAAUAUUUGAUCCAUUCCAACCAGGCAUUUGCAUCUUGGUAACCUGCUUAAUUGCCAAAGUUUGUAUUAAGUCUUUAACUUCUAUGAUCCUCUAGUAAAAUGAACGUAUGGUUUUAGGAAAUUACAAAAACCGGUUGGGGAAGUCCAUCCUUGCUCUGUAGUGGUCCACAGAAUGUUGGACCAACUAUGGCAUAAAAGCUCUACAUCCAGGGGCAAGACUCCUAGUUGGCACUGGGGUCUUUAUGGAAAUCUCCCUGGAUUAAAUGGUCCCAAUUUACUAAUUCCCAGUCUGAGGAGAGCCAGGAAGGUGAGAGGUACUUUUCUGAAGUAGAGGGCUGUCUUUGACUUGGUAAGUCCCCACAGGGUAUAACAAGGCAAGCAUUAAAUGCAAUAGUUUGAGGCAAAAUUGACUUGGUUAUGUUAAUAACUAGAUGGUCAGCAAUAGAGUGAGGAAAGAAGAAAGAGUAAUAGAAUAGAUGAAAGAGUUAAAUUUUUCUUAGCUUAGUUUGGUAGGGUUUUCCCCUGGGACUAUGGCCUACGACUCUGGAGGGGGUGGUGCUUUCUUGACUUGGGUGUGAUGAAUCCAUCCCCUUUCCAUUGUACGAACAGCAGUCUCAGCGGUUAGCAGCACAAGAGAUGAUUUACACAAUGAAGAAAGUACAUGCACUUUGGGCUUCUGUAUGCCUGCUGCUUAAUCUUGCCCCUGCCCCUCUUAAUGCUGAUUCUGAGGAAGAUGAAGAACACACAAUUAUCACAGAUACGGAGUUGCCACCACUGAAACUUAUGCAUUCAUUUUGUGCAUUCAAGGCGGAUGAUGGCCCAUGUAAAGCAAUCAUGAAAAGAUUUUUCUUCAAUAUUUUCACUCGACAGUGCGAAGAAUUUAUAUAUGGGGGAUGUGAAGGAAAUCAGAAUCGAUUUGAAAGUCUGGAAGAGUGCAAAAAAAUGUGUACAAGAGAUAAUGCAAACAGGAUUAUAAAGACAACAUUGCAACAAGAAAAGCCAGAUUUCUGCUUUUUGGAAGAAGAUCCUGGAAUAUGUCGAGGUUAUAUUACCAGGUAUUUUUAUAACAAUCAGACAAAACAGUGUGAACGUUUCAAGUAUGGUGGAUGCCUGGGCAAUAUGAACAAUUUUGAGACAAUGGAAGAAUGCAAGAACAUUUGUGAAGAUGGUCGUAAGUUUAUUUCUUAUUUCAUUUUAGUUCAUUUAUAGGCAUCCUUUUAAAACUAAGGCAUCUCAGAUGGUAUUCAAUACUCAGGUUUUGUUUGAGCCAUGCAAAUGAAGAUAUAUUUGUGUGCAUUCAAUGUGAGAUUUGUGACUAUAGUUUUUUAAAAAGCAUAGAAAAUUAAGAAAGUAUUUUCAUAGAUCUAAUACUUUUUAUGUUGCAUUAUUUAAUUCUUCUUCCUGAGAAUACUGCAGUACAAUUUUGGCACAGUAGAAUUGCUGAAAUCUUUCACAUUUAUACAAAUAUGAGAGCAAACAGUUAUUGAAAACCACCACCUAAAAUCACUUAGUUUUAUCUGCCUAUAACAUUUAUUAAAGGGAUGACUUAAACAUUAACUGCUAUGCUUUUUUGACCAAGAACUACAGUUACUCAUGGAAAUAUUACCUUACAAUUAUAUUUAAAGAUUCACUGUUUGCUAAUUUAACAUAGCAAUGUGAAUGAAAUUGCCAGAAGUCUGCUUUUUUAACUGUCGUACGCUUCAUGAGUCCAAAUAUGAGAUUGUGACAAUGUUUAUUUUAAUUGGCUGUAUUUUUUUCCAGCAAAUGGUUUCCAGGUGGAUAAUUAUGGAACCCAGAUCAAUGCUGUGAAUAACUCCCUGACUCCGCAAUCAACCAAGGUUCCCAGCCUUUUUGAAUUUCACGGUCCCUCAUGGUGUCUCACUCCAGCAGACAGAGGAUUGUGUCGUGCCAAUGUGAACAGAUUCUACUACAAUUCAGUAAUUGGGAAAUGCCGCCCAUUUAAAUACAGUGGAUGUGGGGGAAAUGAAAACAAUUUUACUUCCAAACAAGAAUGUCUGAGGGCAUGUAAAAAAGGUUUCAUCCAAAGAAUAUCAAAAGGAGGCCUAAUUAAAACC
rnacentral:sRNA from 1 species